GGGAGGUACAUCUUCAUAUCCGUCGAUUGAAACUACUGGCUGUUUCAACUACAAGUUGAAGCAUUGUGUUCACGAAAAAAUAUAUAAGAUCAGGGAUAGUUUUGCUCACUGGUGAUACCUCCCUGUUUCUUGAUGAAUUGGAACGCUAAAUCCAUCAGGCCACCAUUGCAACCUUGAUUAUCUGUGUUGUCACAAUCGACAAGUUCUUGCUCCGAUAAUGAAACUAGCUUCUUUGUUCUGAUAUAGUUUAUUCCCUCAACUGAAACCACUGUUGAAAAUGCCCAACAACUACCUGUAGUAACAUCAUCAAGAAAGAAUAUGCAAUCAUAAGCAUCAUCAUAACCAAUUCCAGAGUUCAAAUCUUAAUUUGUAGCAAUUUAUAGACUGCAUAUAUCAGGAUAUUUUUAACAGUAGUCUUACCACAUUGGCCUUGAUCCUUUAUAGGAUUUACAGCACCUUUCUGCCUCCAAUCAACGGAAGGUGGAGCACGAUCAACGUUAGCAUACAUAAAAGUUCCAUUGUCAGCCUUUUGUCCUCUGAGCAAUCUGUGAUGCUUAAUCUUGGAUCCAGCAUAAAAGCUUCUGAAUUCAUGGCUAGUCAGGUCAGCAAACUUGUUAAGUUUCAACUUGUAAGGUUUGUCCUUCUUGUUGAACUGAUGGACAUGGAGAACAUUUGAUUUGAACACAUUGAACCUCUUAAGCUUCUCA